GGAUUGUCAGCAAAUGCCACCUUAAAAUGAAAAACUGAGAGCUUUCAAUGCCACGUAGUUGAGGGGUUUGUUUCCUAUCCUAUUUGAUCCGAUCUACAGCUCAUCGUCUACCCUUUCCUAUUUUAUUCGCUUCGUUCAUCCGAUCCGACUCGUUUAUUUUGUUCUCGGAUUUAAAACUAACCAAAUCGGUUCAUUUUGAGAUGUGGAAGGCCGGAAGGCCGCCUCCUCUCGGUUCAGUCCAGGCAUGGCCGUACCGAUUUUUCUCGCACUUUCAAAUACACCCGUUCUUGAUCGUGAGGCAUCUGACAGAGGAGGACUACGCGAUGGCAAGAGCUGCUAUCUAUAAGUUUUCUUUUUCUUUCUGAAUUAUUUUUUCUCAUUUCAAUUAUUAAAAGCUUGUAAUUACUUCGUGUGUCUUGAGAUCCAUUCUAGGCUUCUAGUUACAUGAAAAAUGGUAAGAGCUUUAGAUUGUAAUGUAGAUGCCAACUACAUGUUUUGUUUGAGCAGAUUGUUGAACUCAUCAGGCUCCAUUUGUCUGGUCACGUGCUUGGGGCUUGCUUCAUGUGAUGUUCAAAAACCAUUCCAAAAUUUGUUUGAGUGAGAGAGAGAGAGAAAUCUGCCUUAAUGGUUUUAUUUUGGAAUCAGAGCACAUAAAAAGCAUCAGAAAAUUUAGGUUUUAUUCACCAUUUUGAAGUCAGUAAACACCAUUUUGAAUCACCUUUAUGUUAUUCUUCAGCUAUCAUAUCCCAAUGAAAACAGAACGAAUCAGAUCUUUAUGUAACUCUUGGUUUUGCCCUCAGCAACGUGCCAGCAUUCUUCCAAUUUUCUGUGGGGAAUUUUUUGCGGUGUCUUUUGUUUGGUAUCCUCAUCUGUGAUCGUACGCAACAAUCAGAUCUGCUCUUUGUAUCCUCAUCUACGAUCAUAUCCUUGUGAUUAUAGCAGGAGAAUCCUCAUCUAUAAUCCUAUCCACAUCUGUGAAGCAACAGUCAGAUCAUAUCCUCUCUAUGAUCGUAUCCUUAUGGUCAUAACAGGAGUAUUUUCUUGACAUGGAUUGACUUGAUUUUGAUCUGAACUGUGUUAACCCACAAAAGGUGUUUAGUUUUAAAAUUUUUCCUGUUUUGACUUUAUGAGCACUUAAACCAUUAAUUUUUAUCACAUUACAGGAAGCUUAGUGGUCAGGAUGGUCUUUCUUCCCUUUGAAUAGUUCAUAUGCUACCUUUGCAAGGACAAUAUUCAGAUAGAAGCAGGAAGUUGGGAAAUUGCCUUUCAGAGGCCCUGAAGGUGGUUAUAUUAUUGAUUGUUGUAUGGUCGGAAAUGGACGGAUGGAGAAGUAUCAACAGCCCCCGGUAUGAAUGAUUGAAUGAUGCCAUAUAUCUCUUUCUGAUAGAGAAGCUAGCUUGACCCCAAAAGGUACUUUUUAAAUUAUCUUUUUGAGCCUUUCUUUCACAAGACAUUAAAGUGCAUAAAAUUUGUUAUUUUUUGCAAUUAUUUAGUAGUACGAGAUUAAUUGACCCAUAAAAUAGUUUAGGGUAAUGAAUUAAACGAGACAUAUCAAGUUGGAGUUUAGGAACCCAAUUAAAUUUGAGGAUAUGAAAACACUUCUGUAUCAAAUUUUGAUUGGAGGGUGUAAAAUGGACUUUUACACUGCUUCCUGUUUUACGAUUAAUCCAAGAAGGAAAAUUAGAGAAAGGAAAAAAAAGAGAAAAAAAAAAGCAUACUAGGGUAAACGGGGAAAAGAACAUGGGCAGAAUAAACACCAGCAUUCGUCAUAAUUGACCCCCCCAAUAUCUCCAAGCCAAAUGUCACGCAAAAUUCUUCCAUCAAACAUCAUGUUCAUGUUAAGUCAGAUUUUUCAAGACCGAAUCCUUUGUUGGGAUUUUGUGUCUAACUUUAAAAUUAAGGAGAGGUAGAAACUAUUUUGCAACCACUCAGCUGGACAUGAUUUGCAUAAUAUAUCACCACGAAAGUGGAAGAUCCCAUGGAGAGUGGGUUUUGGAUCCCCUUUCUUUGAAAACGAAGUGAAGCAAUUUCCCAAAUCACCUACCCACAUUGGGUUUCACUAAGCUUUUCAUCUCUUUUCUAUAGAAGACCCAAAUCAUUUGUUUGUCCUUGUUCAUUCUUAUUACUUCUUCUACUCCCACAAUAAGUGGCACCCUCUACCUAUAUCUUCAUGUUAAAGCAUCUAUCUCAUGUAGCCAACAUCGAAUGAUAGAGCAUGACAUGUAAUGAUAAUAUGGGACCCUUUUUGUAAUCCUUUUGUUAUCUUCUCCUAUUAACUUAGGCCACUAAGAGUCACCAACAAUUAAAGUUUUUCAAAUGUGUGAUUAUUGUAACAGUUCAUUGAUCACAUGGACUCCUCUUAAUUAUCCUUUAUAGCUAUCUAAAUUACGGGACAAAAGCUUCAUUAGCUUUUAAGUGUUCAUAAUAAACGACAAAAAAUUCGGUAUAUUAGUGCCCUCUGGUCUAAUAACAUUAAAGAAGUCGAUGGUUGAGAUAACCCCAACCGAUUAAAAAGUUAAACCACGUAGAGAUUAGGUAGCCACAGUCGUCAUUGCCAAAUGAACUUUAAGAACCUAACUUAAUAGGAAGUGGAACCACUAUUUUUAAUGCUAAUUACAUGAAGUUAAAUCCGUUAAUGCAGAUUGAACUCUCCGGAAUAGUAUUGGGUGAAAAAUGAGAUCAGACUUUAGAAAUUUUCUUGAUGCCAUAUACAUUGGUAACUCCAUGCCUGACAAUUUACAAAUACCAAUCAUAUGAAGAAAUAUAAUGUUUGGGAGAUCAUCUGAAAAGUUAUUGAAAUCAUAAUAUAUCCUAAUAUAACAUGUUGGGUUCCAAUCUCAAUAAAAAAACUUAAAUCUAUGGAUUUGAAACCUAAAACAAUUGUUCUAUGCAUAGAACUUGUUAACG